rnacentral:rRNA from 1 species
AGAGUUUGAUCAUGGCUCAGAUUGAACGCUGGCGGCAGGCUUAACACAUGCAAGUCGAACGGUAACAGGGAGAAAGCUUGCUUUCUUUGCUGACGAGUGGCGGACGGGUGAGUAAUGCUUGGGAAUCUGGCUUAUGGAGGGGGAUAACUACGGGAAACUGUAGCUAAUACCGCGUAAUAUCUUCGGAUUAAAGGGUGGGACCGUAAGGCCACCUGCCAUAAGAUGAGCCCAAGUGGGAUUAGGUAGUUGGUGGGGUAAAGGCCUACCAAGCCGACGAUCUCUAGCUGGUCUGAGAGGAUGGCCAGCCACACUGGAACUGAGACACGGUCCAGACUCCUACGGGAGGCAGCAGUGGGGAAUAUUGCACAAUGGGGGGAACCCUGAUGCAGCCAUGCCGCGUGAAUGAAGAAGGCCUUCGGGUUGUAAAGUUCUUUCGGUGAUGAGGAAGGUGUUUGUUUUAAUAGAACAAGCAAUUGACGCUAGUCACAGAAGAAGCACCGGCUAACUCCGUGCCAGCAGCCGCGGUAAUACGGAGGGUGCGAGCGUUAAUCGGAAUGACUGGGCGUAAAGGGCACGCAGGCGGUGACUUAAGUGAGAUGUGAAAGCCCCGGGCUUAACCUGGGAAUUGCAUUUCAUACUGGGUUGCUAGAGUAUUUUAGGGAGGGGUAGAAUUCCACGUGUAGCGGUGAAAUGCGUAGAGAUGUGGAGGAAUACCGAAGGCGAAGGCAGCCCCUUGGGAAUAUACUGACGCUCAUGUGCGAAAGCGUGGGGAGCAAACAGGAUUAGAUACCCUGGUAGUCCACGCUGUAAACGCUGUCGAUUUGGGGAUUGGGCUUUGAGCUUGGUGCCCGUAGCU